CCCUUAGAUGUUCUGGGCCGCACGCGCGCUACACUGACGGAGCCAACGAGUAUUUUCCUUGUCCGGAAGGACUGGGUAAUCUUGUGAAACUUUGUCGUGCUGGGGAUAGAGCAUUGUAAUUAUUGCUCUUCAACGAGGAAUUCCUAGUAAGCGUGAGUCAUCAGCUCGCGUUGAUUACGUCCCUGCCCUUUGUACACACCGCCCGUCGCUACUACCGAUUGAAUGGCUUAGUGAGCCUGUGGGAUUGGCAGCCAACACCGGCAACGGUAGCUGGCCGCCGAAAACUUAUGCAAACUUGGUCAUUUAGAGGAAGUAAAAGUCGUAACA
rnacentral:rRNA from 1 species